AAAGACGUGGUCCUUCUGACUGUUAGUCCUGGUGAUAAGCUGUUAGGCUGUGACUUUUUUGGUUUAUUCUAAAGAACGAAGAACUUCCUUUACCCAAACUGAAAGCUCAAAAGGAAAAGGGCUUCUUUCUCCUGCUGAAUGCAUGUACAACAGCUUUGAUGGAGAAUGUAUUUCUUCGUACAAGUUCCCAGGCAUGGAAAGAGGCAAACUCAUGUACAUGCACUCUUUUAGUCAUUGCUCAUUGCUACAGUUUAUGAUCAAGCGCACACAAGCUGUUCUUAUUUUCACAAUGGAGGCCAUCAAUGAGUCCUGUAGUUCAGUGAGGGAAACUAUAUUUCCCUUUAUGUGGCAAAGCUCUGAGGUGAUGAAUGCCCUUCAAAGGUGAGUGCUUCUAAUUCACAGGCUCACUUUCAUCAUCUUCAAGGGCUUUCAGCUGUCCUUUGUCAUUGCAAACCAAGCAGGUGAAGAUGGAGGUGCUGGGGCAGGAGGAAAGGUAAAGCUUAAUCUUGCACAUAUGUAAGCUAGAAAUAACAUUUUUAAAAAUCAAAACAGAUGCAUACCUUUUGAAACUACAGUUAAAGUGGAUAAAGGACUUUUUACAAAUUAUAUACAGUAUUUUGAUGGCUGCUGCAGAUGGAAGCUGAAAGAGAAAAGAAAAUUAUGUUUGAUAAUAGAAAAAAAAAUCUAUAUUCCAUGCAAAGAAGGUGUCUGAAGGAAGCAGGGGGCAUCACACUGAUAACAACAAAGCAGAGUUAAGAAGACCUGCCUAUAAGGAUCAAAGGAAAGAUCCCAAUCCUAAGUAGGUAUCCUAGCGCUAUCAGAAUCUAACCUUUGCUUCCCACAGAUUUUGUAUGAAAACAUGCCUGAUACAUCUGACCCUCUUGGAUUUUAAAUUGGAAAACUGCCGUGAGUCAGGGUUAUUCUAUCUAAUUUUCAGGUUCCCCUGCUGGAGAAUGUAUAGAGGGUUUGUGAACUCCACUCUCACCUGUGUCUGAGCAGGGUGAGCAUGUGGUGCAGAGCUGCUGGCACCAGUCUGAAGCAGCCCUGGUCCCUUCUACAUCAGAUUCUUUGAACUGCCUAGGAAGGGAGGUAGGAGACCAGAUUAUGUCUGACUGAUAUUAAACUACAGAUGCUGAAGGAAAGGAAGUUUCUGAGAUCAUACUUAGUGGAUGCGCAUGCAUGCACACUCCCAUGUGUACCUUUCUCUUCUGCAGCUUGGCUUCAUACAAAUCUGACAUUGCAAAACAGAAGCUCCCAGAACUUAUUAAUGAGCAUAAAACAGAGAAGGAAGUGUCCCUUCUGAAGGAAAAAUUGCAGUUCCUCACAUACUCACAUCUCACGCCUUACCUACCGAAGAAUCUGCACAGGAAGAAAACUGUAGCAGUGCUGCAAUAAAGGACGGAACCCUUGGAACCUCUAGACCCUU
rnacentral:lncRNA from 1 species